rnacentral:lncRNA from 10 species
GCGCCCGCCCCGCCCCGCCGCGAUCCCAGUCCCAGUUCUGGGCGCGCAGCCCGCUGCAGUCAACAGCCCCUUUCUGGGCGGGGAUCUGUCCUGGCCGGAUGGGAGGAGGGAAGUGAAAAAAGCUCCCAGAAGUCUCUAAAUCAGUUUCAGUCUCGAGGUCCCCGGGCUGCUUCUUAUUUAUGAUCAGAUCAAGGGUAUAAGGUGUCAGUGGGGGCAGCCAGCAGUCAUAGGCCAGAGAGGGGCGACUGCCCGUCCCAAGGGCUUGUCACAGGGUAAGUAACCGACAGACUGGGAAAGGAAGGAGGCAAUCUUCAGCCACUCGGUCACUCAUUCUAAAUUCACUCUCAUUUUUUGGGCAUCUAUUGUGCAAGCCCUGUGGACUUAAAAAGAGAAAUAAGACGCCGUCCCUGCCCUCGGGAGCUCCCGGCGCAUCUGCCCCAACAACUCGCUGAAGCCGCCUGCAGGACGCCUGAGUGAGGACAAGGUGUCUCACUCAGAAAAUUUGCUUGAUUCUUCCUGGCAAGUGGGACAGGGUGAGCUUCCCGGAGGAGGGGACCUUCGAGCUGUGUAGCGGGGAAGGUAGGAGAGCGAUGAGAGCGCCCGGAAGGGACAAGCAUUCGGGGAGACUGAAGCGCAUUCAACAACAUAUUUAUUGAGCACCUACUACGUCCAGGCACUGUUACAUCGGUGAUGUAACAAAAGCCGACAAAAACCCUCACCCCGAGCGCAGGCACCGCAGAGGGCGAUGACGACCCGAGAAGAUGCCGAACGCAGGCCAGGAGGGGGCUCUGGGGAAAAGCAAAGGCAGGGGAGGUUGCCCAUCGGGGAGCCUCGCGUCCCUGGGCCCUCCGUACUCUGCACAUAUGCAGAGGCCCCCACCCGUCCUGUAACCGCAAACUGCUUGGCGUGACUUGGCCAGCGGAGGGAGGAGCCCAGGCUGCAGGACAAGCAGGAGUCAGGGGUAGGUGCGGUGGAGUGAUGGGGUCGCGGCAGAUUGGGCGUGGAAACCGCGCUGGGCAGCCAGCCUGAGGGUCCCUGCAGUUGCUGGGGAAAGUGGACUCUUCUGGUAGCUGCUUUUACAGCCCCUGCCCUCAGAGGCCCCCCAGGUGGGAAGGGCCUGCCUCCUAGGCAGUGGGUGGUCACCGAGGACUGACUUUGAACCCGGGGCAAGGGAGCCCCAGAAGGCUGGAGGCCUGCACACGGCACUGGAAGAAACAAACUGCAAAGGCUGUCCCUCAGGGCUAUCUCCACAGCCACCGGAAUGCGGCCUGGAAUAUCCAAACCUGUCAGCCCACCUGCACCCAGCCAGACAGCGACCAUUCUAGCUGCUUCCCCGGAGGCCUGCUGACCCAGAGAGGUGUCAAAAAGCUGAAGCACAACAGACAGACCUCCCACAGACUCAGCAGGGAGUUGGAGGACAGUCGGCACACCAGCAGCUGUAGCCCAUCACCUCCCCCCUCCCCAUUCACCUGGUAUGCAGCACUUAAGGGCUUGCUGAAGCCCCAGCAAAGCAGAGGCCCACCUGAGAGCUUGGAAACACACCUAUGCCCCAGACCACCGCAAUCGCAAUCUCCAGUCAGCCCUGGCCACCACAGUGAACUGCCUAAGUGCCCCAGAUGACUGAGUCACAAGCCAGGGCUGGGAAGCACUGCAUGAAAGGCGGCCUUCUCUAGACAAGGCUGGACACACCCCUGCAAGGCCUGUCUCCUAGGAGCUGGGAUGAAACUCUGGACGAUGUGCUGGGAACAAAGAAAACCCACAUGGUAAAGGCUCGCUUUUCCUUGGGAAUCUGCAAUGCUUACAGAACGGGAAAGGCUGAAAGCCGCCCACAGUGCCGCACCUGGGCCUGAGGGCUGGUGUACCCACCCUCUCCCGGAGGAAACAAGACCCGUGACCAGACUCAAAACCACCUCACACCCUCACAAUCCUUACAGAAUAUUCAAAGACUGGCACUUCAACCUUACAACCUGAGCACGUCUAAAUGCCUAACACAAUACCAAGCACACUGUAUGCCACGCUUUUAAAAGGUAGAGAUCUUAAAAAAACAAAAAACACUACCUCGGGUAUGAAGACAGAUUUUAUGAUGCCAGUCAUUUCCAGAGGGGCUGCCCGCUGUGGCACAGCACCACCUGGUGGCCACCCCAACCCAUGCACCUCCCCCCAUCCCAGUACCCUGACAGCAAGCCAAUGAAAGAGGUGUUAAUAUGGCUAUUUUCCAACUGAGGAAACAGGCAAAAGUGUAGUCAUUUCUCCAAGUCAGUCAAGUUAGCGAGUGGUAGAUGUGCUAUACCUUGUUGCACCCAUUUUGGGACCUGUUUGAAUGGCAUGCCCCACCAUCGCUCCCACAUCUGCCAGUUAUGUUUAACCCCACGUGCUAUUUCCAUCAUGGCCUCCCCACAUCUUAUUUUCAAACAGGCUGAAAACAGAUGGCCUCAUUUGCCGACUGAGAUCAUGCUCAAGAUUAGGGAUGCACCGGGCACGGAGGCUCAUGCCUGUAAUCCCAGCACUAUGGGAGGCUGAGGCAGGCAGUGAAACCCUGUCUCUACUACAAAUACAAAAAUUGGCCAGGCGUGGUGAUGUGUGCCUGUAAUCCCAGCCACUCGGGAGGCUGAGGCAGGACAGUCGCUUGAACCCAGGAGGCGGAGGUGGUAGUGAGCUGAUAUCGCACCACUGUGCUCCAGGAUGAGCCACAGAGCAAGACUCCGUCUCAAAGAAAGAAAAAAAAAAAAAAAAAA